ACAUGCUUACAUCAUAGCAUUAAUUCAAUGGAUCCCAUUAGAACUCUGUUUAUAAGCACACACAGGAUAGAGUAGUACUGGGAUGGGUGACCACCUGGGAAGUCCUAGUGUUUUACAUGCU
rnacentral:rRNA from 1 species